rnacentral:ncRNA from 2 species
GACGGAUUUGAUGUUCUUUGUCUUAUAAUCCUUGGUGACAAUUUAUCUGAUUUUGAUGCUUGUUGUCAUGUCUUUUACUUGGAUUUGUUGCACGAGGAUCCAUUGGAGGGCAAGUCUGGUGCCAGCAGCCGCGGUAAUUCCAGCUCCAAUAGCGUAUAUUUAAGUUGUUGCAGUUAAAAAGCUCGUAGUUGGACUUUGGGAUAGGCUGGCCGGUCCGCCCUAGGUGUGCACCGGUCGUCUUGUCCCUUCUGUCGGCGAUGCGCUGUUGUUGGUUUGUUGUCAUGAAGCUAGAUUAACACUUCCAACAAAAGAUAAAUUAGAAUGAAAGUAAUGCAAAUGGAAAAGAGGAACAAGUAAAAAGGAUGUCAAAAUAGUUUUUACCUAGAUUAUUGAAGGCUUUCUUGACCAACC